GACAGAGGUGCCGAGCGUUAGGCGGAAUCACUGGGCUUAAAGCGUGUGUAGGCGGAUUGGUAAGUACCUUGUGAAAUCCCACGGCUUAACCGUGGAACUGCUUGGUAUACUGCUUAUCUUGGGCCACUUAGGGGCUACCGGAACAAACGGUGGAGCGGUGAAAUGCGUAGAUAUCGUUUGGAACGCCAAUGGUGAAAACAGGUAGCUGGGAGUGUGCCGACGCUGAGACACGAAAGCCAGGGGAGCGAAUGGG
rnacentral:rRNA from 1 species